GAUGCACGCUGGCGGCGUGCCUAAUACAUGCAAGUCGAGCGAACAGACGAGGAGCUUGCUCCUCUGACGUUAGCGGCGGACGGGUGAGUAACACGUGGAUAACCUACCUAUAAGACUGGGAUAACUUCGGGAAACCGGGGCUAAUACCGGAUAAUAUAUUGAACCGCAUGGUUCAAUAGUGAAAGACGGUUUUGCUGUCACUUAUAGAUGGAUCCGCGCCGCAUUAGCUAGUUGGUAAGGUAACGGCUUACCAAGGCAACGAUGCGUAGCCGACCUGAGAGGGUGAUCGGCCACACUGGAACUGAGACACGGUCCAGACUCCUACGGGAGGCAGCAAUAGGGAAUCUUCCGCAAUGGGCGAAAGCUUGACGGAGCAACGCCGCGUGAGUGAUGAAGGUCUUCGGAUCGUAAAACUCUGUUAUUAGGGAAGAACAAAUGUGUAAGUAACUAUGCACGUCUUGACGGUACCUAAUCAGAAAGCCACGGCUAACUACGUG
rnacentral:rRNA from 1 species